UCCCUGGUGGCUCAGAUGGUAAAGCAUCUGCCUGCAGUGCGGGAGACCCAGGUUCGAUCCCUGGGUUGGGAA
rnacentral:tRNA from 1 species